rnacentral:lncRNA from 1 species
AGGCAACCCGCGGGCCGAGACGGGGUAGUGAGGGCCGGAAGCCCGGCUCCCGACUCCGCUUCGUCCCCACAACCUCCGGCCGCCUGAAGUCCUGAGGGGCCGUGGCCCUGGGUCGUCUCCCCUGUUCCCAGCCUCCAGUCGCAGCUGGCGGAGAGAAGUUCCCGAGGCCCCCCCGACUUGCAAGGAGGCCGACCCAAGUCUCCCUGCUGUCAUUUCAGGAGGCCGAAUUUUUUCCCAAUCCCAGAGAAGGUGUCAGAGGCCUGGGCUACUGAGAAAAUGUUGGACAGAGGAAGGAAGGCAGGGCAGGGCCAGGCUGCAGCUAGCAUCUGGACUGUUGGCUAAUGCUGGUGAUGGCGCAGAAGACCCUUGCCCCCUUUUACAGCUUCUCCCCUAGAAGCCUGGCCCAGAUGCCUGAAUUCCCACCUUUCAUGCACUUAGCCCUGGGGCUUGCAGUUUUGCCAGGUCCUUACUGCCUCCUCCCUCCUGUGGCCUGCCCGGAGGGGCACACAAGCAAAGCCAGUGCCUCUGUGGACAGGCAGCUUAAGACAUUAGGAGACAAAUGAAGGAAGGAGGCAAAACUUCCAAGGCCGGACUAUCUCCUCUGGACCAGAGUUUCGGCCUGCUGGGAAUGGAGUCACCAGCCCCGGGGGGGCUGACAGGUGGCUCCCGCCUACAGAGCUGUAACUCAUCCCUGCUGCUGAACAGGAAAGGGCCUGCCUUACCCAGAUCCCAUCCUCCGGAAAGGGUUAGUCAGGCAAGUGUGCUGAGAGGCCCCUGGGAACCUCGUCUCGAUUAACCCAUCAGAAAGCAGCCCAUCCUUUGCACCCAGCUCUCAGAUGGAAAAGUGAAGCCCAGAAGGAAGGGACCUGACACGGAGGCUUCCUUGGUAGCAUUUCAGUCUCAAGGGAAGAACUGUGGGCCUCCCCUGGAGCACUGGUGAAGUAAGGGGUUGGUUUGGAUAUUGUCUCCUGACUGGGAUAUGGGCAGGACUGACAGGGAGCUGGAGUCCUAACGAAGCCUGGGCUAGGUGCAGGAAGAACCAACCCAGUGGUCUCCUGACAUCUCCCACGCCCCCACCGCAGCUGGGUCACCUCCAGAAUACGGAGGAGAGAGCUGGAGGUGGAGGAACUAAGGACCUUCUUUGCCAGGUGGGGACUUAAAGUUUCAGUUACUCAUUGUUGGGGCUCAGAAACCAAUACCCCGAAAUAUAGUGGUGUGACAUUCUGAACUGAAGAAGCCUUAAGGUCUCUCCGACCAGACUCCCACAGGCCCCCCAACCCUUUGUCUCUUCCAAAGCAUACAGUGAAGUUGUUCUCUGAAGUUCCUCAUCUGCCUUAAGUCUGGACCCACCAAAGAAGAAAACAAUGACCACUGGUCCCUUCCCGGAGUUUUCUCUGACUGAACUGCUGUCACAGGAAGAAAGACUGAAGCCUGCUCACAUACCUGGACAGAUUUUGCAAACCGUUGUCUGCUCUGUGAGCCCAACAGACUUUGUCCCAGGCCACUGUAUGUUCUUCAAGCCCACUGAAUUCCCCUGAAAAUCAUUUACUAGCCCCCUGAAAUUACCCACACUUCCCCAUUGCUCAUCUGUACCCCAUUUCGUGGUGGGGCAGUCACUCUGAUUUCCCCUUGCAUGCUAAUGAAUGUGUAUUCCAUUUCUAUUCUGCUUUCAUGAGCUGACUUUUCAGUGAACCUUCAGAGGGUAAAGGGGAAGUUUUCCCUUGGCCCCUGCACCGCAAUUGGUAAGGUCCAAAAUGUUAAAUGGAAAAUUCCAGAAAUAGCUGGUCGUGAUGGCUCCUGCCUGUAAUCCCAGCACUUUGGGAGGCCGAGGUAGGUGGAUAGCUUGAAGUCAGGAGUUCGAGACCAGCCUGGCCAACAUGGUGAAACCCUGUCUGUACUAAAAGUACCAAAAUUAGCUGGGCGUGGUGGCGCACGCCUGUAGUCCCUGCUACUUGGGAGGCUGAGGCAGGAGAAUCACUUGAACCUGGGAGGCAGAGGUUGCAGUGAGCAGAGAUCGCACCACCACUCCAGCCUGGAUGACAGAGUAAGACUCCGUCUCAAAAAAAAAAAAAAAAGAAAAUUCUAGAAAUAAACAAUUCAUGUUUUAAAUAAC